rnacentral:rRNA from 1 species
AUACGGAGGGUGCGAGCGUUAAUCGGAAUUACUGGGCGUAAAGCGCGCGUCGGCGGUUUGGUCAGUCGGAUGUGAAAGCCUUAGGCUCAACAUGGGAAUGGCAUUCGAUACUGCCUGACUAGAGUAUGGUAGAGGGAAGUGGAAUUUCCGGUGUAGCGGUGAAAUGCGUAGAUAUCGGAAGGAACACCAGUGGCGAAGGCGACUUCCUGGGCCAAUACUGACGCUGAGGUGCGAAAGCGUGGGGAGCAAACAGGAUUAGAAACCCCAGUAGUCC